CCAAACAUCAUAUAACUAUAUAAACAUUAUAUUUCAUAUCCUUGCAAAGAGCUCAGAAAGCAAUAAUUGAUCGGCCUUCCACUCGAGUCCUCUUGUCUCUGCUUCAUUUCUCACUAGAGAAUGGAGUUUAACUAAACAAAGAAACCACCUGCACAAUUUGCCCAACAAGCUGAACAGCUGAAACCACAGCCACAAUUACUCUGAACCAAGCAAAACGGUUUCUAAACAUUUUG
rnacentral:lncRNA from 1 species